CCUACGGGUGACAGCAGUAGUGAAUCUUCCACCAUGGACGAAAGUCUGAUGGAGCAACGCCGCGUGAGUGUAGAAGGGUUUCGGCUCGUCAAGCUCUGUUGGUAGUGAAGAAAGAUAGAGGUAGUAACUGUCCUUUAUUUGACGGUAAUUUCUUAGAACGUCACGGCUAACUACGUGCCAGCAGCCGCGGUAAUACGUAGGUGGCAAGCGUUGUCCGGAUUUUUUGGGCGUAAAGUGAGUGCAGGCGGUUCAAUAAGUCUGCUGGGAAAGCCUUCGGCGCAACCGGAGAAGUGCAUCAGAAACUGGUGAACUUGAGUGCAGAAGAGGAGAGUGGAACGCCAUGUGUAGCGGUGGAAUGCGUAGAUAUAUGGAAGAACACCAGUGGCGAAGGCGGCUCUCUGGUCUGCAACUGACGCUGAGGCUCGAAAGCAUGGGUAGCGAACAGGAUUAGAUACCCGAGUAGUC
rnacentral:rRNA from 1 species